rnacentral:rRNA from 1 species
GACGAACGCUGGCGGCGUGCUUAACACAUGCAAGUCGAGCGGUAAGGCCCUUUCGGGGGUACACGAGCGGCGAACGGGUGAGUAACACGUGGGUGACCUGCCCUCAGCUCUGGGAUAAGCCCGGGAAACUGGGUCUAAUACCGGAUAUGACUUCAUGACGCAUGUUGUGGAGUGGAAAGCCUUGUGCGGCUGAGGAUGGGCCCGCGGCCUAUCAGCUUGUUGGUGGGGUGAGGCCUACCAAGGCGACGACGGGUAGCCGGCCUGAGAGGGCGACCGGCCACACUGGGACUGAGAUACGGCCCAGACUCCUACGGGAGGCAGCAGUGGGGAAUCUUGCGCAAUGGGCGAAAGCCUGACGCAGCGACGCCGCGUGAGGGAUGACGG